rnacentral:rRNA from 1 species
AUGGUCCUAUGAAAUUAUGUGUAGGAUCUGGCCUGCCCACUGAGAAUCUUGAAGGGCUGCAGUAUUUUGACUGUACAAAGGUAGCACAAUCAUUAGUCUAUUAAUUGUAGACUAGAAUGAAUGGUUAGACGAAUAAUUGUUGUUUCAGGUUUAAAUAUUGAAUUUAAUAUCUCUGUUAAAAGGCAGAGAUAAAAUUAAAAGACAAGAAGACCCUUUAAAAUUUAUUAGACAUAAGAUUAUAUUGGUUUAUUAAUAAUAAAAUAGUUAGGUGAUUAAUUUUGCUGGGGCGGCAGGUAAUAACAAUAUCAAUUCAGAAACAAAUAUAGUUGAAUUAGGGUAUGAGCUUUAUAUUAGGCUAAUAGAGUAAGUUACUAAAGGGAUAACAGCGUAAUGUGCUUUAAGAGUUCUUAUUGACAGGCAUGUUUGCGA